rnacentral:rRNA from 1 species
UGGGGAAUUUUCCACAAUGGGCGAAAGCCUGAUGGAGCAAUACCGCGUGGAGGAUGAAGGAUCGUGGUUCGUAAACUCCUUUUCUUAGAGAAGAAUAAAUGACGGUAUCUAAGGAAUAAGCACCGGCUAACUCUGUGCCAGCAGCCGCGGUAAUACAGAGGGUGCAAGCGUUGUCCGGAAUGAUUGGGCGUAAAGCAUCUGUAGGUGGUUUUUAAAGUCAACUGUCAAAUCCCAGAGCUCAACUUUGGACAGGCAGUUGAGUACUUAAGGACUUGAGUACGGUAGGGGUAGAGGGAAUUCCUAGUGGAGCGGUGAAAUGCACAGAGAUUAGGAAGAACACCAGUGGCGAAAGCGCUCUACUGGGCCGUGACUGACACUGAGAGAUGAAAGUUGGGGGAGC